rnacentral:rRNA from 1 species
UGAGCUGGCGGCAGGCCUACACAUGCAAGCUCGAGCGGAUGACGGGAGCUUGCUCCUUGAUUCAGCGGCGGACGGGUGAGUAAUGCCUAGGAAUCUGCCUGGUAGUGGGGGACAACGUUUCGAAAGGAACGCUAAUACCGCAUACGUCCUACGGGAGAAAGCAGGGGACCUUCGGGCCUUGCGCUAUCAGAUGAGCCUAGGUCGGAUUAGCUUGUUGGUGAGGUAAUGGCUCACCAAGGCGACGAUCCGUAACUGGUCUGAGAGGAUGAUCAGUCACACUGGAACUGAGACACGGUCCAGACUCCUACGGGAGGCAGCAGUGGGGAAUAUUGGACAAUGGGCGAAAGCCUGAUCCAGCCAUGCCGCGUGUGUGAAGAAGGUCUUCGGAUUGUAAAGCACUUUAAGUUGGGAGGAAGGGCAGUAAGCUAAUACCUUGCUGUUUUGACGUUACCGACAGAAUAAGCACCGGCUAACUCUGUGCCAGCAGCCGCGGUAAUACAGAGGGUGCAAGCGUUAAUCGGAAUUACUGGGCGUAAAGCGCGCGUAGGUGGUUUGUUAAGUUGGAUGUGAAAGCCCCGGGCUCAACCUGGGAACUGCAUCCAAAACUGGCAAGCUAGAGUACGGUAGAGGGUGGUGGAAUUUCCUGUGUAGCGGUGAAAUGCGUAGAUAUAGGAAGGAACACCAGUGGCGAAGGCGACCACCUGGACUGAUACUGACACUGAGGUGCGAAAGCGUGGGGAGCAACAGGAUUAGAUACCCUGGUAGUCCACGCCGUAAACGAUGUCAACUAGCCGUUGGAAUCCUUGAGAUUUUAGUGGCGCAGCUAACGCAUUAAGUUGACCGCCUGGGGAGUACGGCCGCAAGGUUAAAACUCAAAUGAAUUGACGGGGGCCCGCACAAGCGGUGGAGCAUGUGGUUUAAUUCGAAGCAACGCGAAGAACCUUACCAGGCCUUGACAUGCAGAGAACUUUCCAGAGAUGGAUUGGUGCCUUCGGGAACUCUGACACAGGUGCUGCAUGGCUGUCGUCAGCUCGUGUCGUGAGAUGUUGGGUUAAGUCCCGUAACGAGCGCAACCCUUGUCCUUAGUUACCAGCACGUUAUGGUGGGCACUCUAAGGAGACUGCCGGUGACAAACCGGAGGAAGGUGGGGAUGACGUCAAGUCAUCAUGGCCCUUACGGCCUGGGCUACACACGUGCUACAAUGGUCGGUACAGAGGGUUGCCAAGCCGCGAGGUGGAGCUAAUCUCACAAAACCGAUCGUAGUCCGGAUCGCAGUCUGCAACUCGACUGCGUGAAGUCGGAAUCGCUAGUAAUCGCGAAUCAGAAUGUCGCGGUGAAUACGUUCCCGGGCCUUGUACACACCGCCCGUCACACCAUGGGAGUGGGUUGCACCAGAAGUAGCUAGUCUAACCUUCGGGAGGACGGUACCACGGUGUAUUCAUGACUGGGG